rnacentral:tRNA from 1 species
GCCUCGCUGGCUCAGUCAGUAGAGCAUGUGACUCUUAACCUCAGGAUGGUGGGUUCAAACCCCAUGUGGGGCA